rnacentral:rRNA from 1 species
AUGGACCACCGCGCGGGAGCUUGGCAUGGGCUUCAUCGGCGGGUACUUGACCUCGAAGCCCUUCUCCAGGUCGCCGCCGACCGCGUUGGUGCCGUAGUAGUGCUGGUCGGCGUAGGCCUUCUUCUUGGAGAGCCGGCGGCCGCACAGCCGCCCCGCGACGCAGGCGACGACGGCGAGGAAGGAGAUGACGCCCAGCACGGUGAACACCGGCGCGAAGGAGCCCCUGGACGUGGUGGCCGGCUGCGCGUGCAUGAUGGGGUUGGUGGUGGGGUAAUACGGCAUGGGCUGAGUCAUGGAAGCCAUGGCAGCUUCUUCUCUCUGCUGCCUCUCAGCUCUCGAGAACUAUUCUCUGUUUCUCAAGGAAGGGAAUGGAAAUGGCUUGCGAUGGAGCGUUGGCUCCGUGAGUAG